AUUGAACGCUGGCGGCAGGCCUAACACAUGCAAGUCGAGCGGUAGCACAGAGAGCUUGCUCUCGGGUGACGAGCGGCGGACGGGUGAGUAAUGUCUGGGAAACUGCCUGAUGGAGGGGGAUAACUACUGGAAACGGUAGCUAAUACCGCAUAACGUCGCAAGACCAAAAGUGGGGGACCUUCGGGCCUCAUGCCAUCAGAUGUGCCCAGAUGGGAUUAGCUAGUAGGUGGGGUAACGGCUCACCUAGGCGACGAUCCCUAGCUGGUCUGAGAGGAUGACCAGCCACACUGGAACUGAGACACGGUCCAGACUCCUACGGGAGGCAGCAGUGGGGAAUAUUGGCACAAUGGGCGCAAGCCUGAUGCAGCCAUGCCGCGUGUGUGAAGAAGGCCUUCGGUGUAAGCACUUUCAGUCGGGAGG
rnacentral:rRNA from 1 species